ensembl:snoRNA Gm24728 predicted gene, 24728
AUAUCAAGAGCUAAUGCGGGUAGAGUAUUACCUUUACAAUUGAGGCUGUUUGCCAGAAUGAGUCGGAUCAUACUCCAGAGAGGGCUGUCUCAUUUAUUGUGGUUCACUACUUAUGACCUACAGU